rnacentral:lncRNA from 1 species
CCUCCUCUUCUGAAGAAUGGGACAUCUUAUCAGACUCUACAUGUGUGAACAUGGAGUAUACUUCCCCUGCCCUUAGGAAUGUAAUACCACACCUUAAUCAGACCCCAUAUGUGAGCUACUGACCUCAACUACUGGAUUUCAAAUACAAUAAACUCAGGAGUUUGGCAGACACUGUAAGAGCUGAGGCCAUGGCAGGCUGCACUUUCAGCUGCCUUGCCAAUACUCACAGCUUAGGCAGCCACAGCACCACAGCCUGUUAGCCUUUGAAGUUAUCUCCAAAGCCUGGCCUGGCAGCACCAACACCACCCUUCAGCUUUAGGCUCAUCAUGGAUAUCUGCUGUGUUUGAUCUCUGCUGUGUUGGAUGCCAGCUUUCCUGAGAAACUUUUCAUAUAAAGGUACACCUUAACCUUUAACUGGACUUUACUUUCCACAGAG